rnacentral:rRNA from 1 species
UACGGAGGGUGCAAACGUUGCUCGGAAUCAUUGGGCGUAAAGCGCACGUAGGCGGUCCAGCAAGUCGGGUGUGAAAGCCCUCGGCUUAACCGUGGAAGUGCAUUCGAAACUACUGGACUUGAAUACUGAAGAGGAUCGCGGAAUUCCCGGUGUAGAGGUGAAAUGCGUAGAUAUCGGGAGGAACACCAGUGGCGAAGGCGGCGAUCUGGGCAGAUAUUGACGCUGAGGUGCGAAAGCGUGGGGAGCAAACAGG